GUGUGCUAUUGGGCAGGGAGUAUAGCUUAGUGGUAAGGCACAUGCCUGACACUCCCAGGGCCACCAAAAAUAGAAAAGUACUAUGAAUUUUAUAUUCCCACUUGGUUCAUUAAUUUUAGUCAUGAAAUAGCAAGUUUGGUAUAAGUUGGAGCAUAAUAUUUUUAAAAGGCAGGUCUUAAUAUAUACAGAAGGUACUUUUUUUUUUUUUUUUUUGGUACCCGUGAUCAAACUCACGACCUCACGCUUGCCAGGCAGGCACUUAUGCUGCUGCUUGAUACAUACAUGUGUGUACAUCAACUUGGAGCAAAGGGUCAGUGCUCAGAAAAAGCACCAGACACAUCCGCUUCCUCUUGUAGGUGAAUGAACUGGUGCAGGUGGAAACCUACCUCCGGAGUGAAGGCGUGCUGGUGCGAUACUGGUACCCUAUCGAUAUGCUGGAGAGGCCCCCAGCAGGCUACCGAAGGACAGCCACCAAUGGGCUGGUCACACUGGACAACACCAACCUUCAGAUUCACAGAUGGCACCAUCAGCUCCAGCUCCAUCCUCCUGGCACAGUCUCUGCAGCACUGCAUCCACUCCCAGAACUGCUCAGCCACAGACCUCUUCUACCAGGGUAACUCCCAGACAGUGAGGGAGUGGCUCAACGUGGCCAUCACCCGCUCCCUGCACCAGGGCGAGGACAGCCUCUUGGAGCUGACCAAGCAGAUCUGCUCCUUCCUGCAGACAGCACCAGAGCAGUUCCCCUCGGAAGAGUUCCCAAUUUCCGAGUCCAAAGUCAACAUGGACGUUAAUUUCCCCGGGGCGGCUUUUGUCGUGGUGUCUUGUAAAGAAAGUCAGUCUGGAUUCCGCAAAGAGUAAGUUGAUUUUCUCAAGAGGAGUUGAUGGGAGAAGAGCCAAGUGAAUUCCCGUGACGCUGGCAGAGGGAAAUAUUCAAAUUGUCCCUGUUCUUCAAUGCAUACACCCUUUAAAACUGGUCUGCAGUUCCCGAGAUUCCCUGUGUGGGGACACGGCCCUCAGGGGUGCCGGAGAGGACUUGGCCAGCUUCCUGCUGUGUCUGUACUAACGCCUUUCCUCCCAGCUCCUCUCUGUACAAGGCACCAUGGGCGCGCGUGCUCGUGUACGGGCUCGGCCACAAAGUGAAGCGAACUGGCCAGCUGAACCUCAUCGAGGCCGCCUGUUACCCGAGGGACGCAUCCCCAGCCAACACUGGGCUGGCCCCACCGCCCACCGCUGACCAGUACCCCUCCGUGGUCCUCUCCACGGACAGGGUCCACAUCAGACUGGGUGAGUCUUCCCCUGCUCCGAGAGAUGCACGUCUGGGUCAGCUGCUCUGUGGCCUUCUUGGUGGAGAUGCAGGGGUCUGGCUGGGUCCCUGCUGCUCAGGGUGGUGUUUCUAUGAAGCAAAAGGUUGAAGGCCUGGCAGGGGCUACCCUGGGGUUUCCCCGCCUUUCACAAGCGGCACUGGCAUGCGGUUGUUUGUCGGAGGAGAGCAGUCUCGGCCUCACCUCAUCCUGC
rnacentral:lncRNA from 1 species